rnacentral:rRNA from 1 species
GUACACUCCUACGGGAGGCAGCAGUGGGGAAUUUUGGACAAUGGGCGAAAGCCUGAUCCAGCAAUGCCGCGUGUGUGAAGAAGGCCUUCGGGUUGUAAAGCACUUUUGUCCGGAAAGAAAUCCUUGGCUCUAAUACAGUCGGGGGAUGACGGUACCGGAAGAAUAAGCACCGGCUAACUACGUGCCAGCAGCCGCGGUAAUACGUAGGGUGCGAGCGUUAAUCGGAAUUACUGGGCGUAAAGCGUGCGCAGGCGGUUUGCUAAGACCGAUGUGAAAUCCCCGGGCUCAACCUGGGAACUGCAUUGGUGACUGGCAGGCUAGAGUAUGGCAGAGGGGGGUAGAAUGCCACGUGUAGCAGUGAAAUGCGUAGAGAUGUGGAGGAAUACCGAUGGCGAAGGCAGCCCCCUGGGCCAAUACUGACGCUCAUGCACGAAAGCGUGGGGAGCAAACAGGAUUAGAUACCCGUGUAGUCCCAUG